AGAGUUUGAUCCUGGCUCAGAAUAAACGCUGGCGGCGUGCUUAACACAUGCAAGUCGAGCGAGAAAGUCCUUCGGGAUGAGUACAGCGGCGAACGAGUGAGUAACGCGUAAGAAUCUGCCUUUUAGUGAAGAAUACCCCUGAGAAAUCGGGGUUAAUGCUGCAUACGUCCUACGGGAGAAAGAUGGCCUCCUUGCUGUCGCUAAAAGAUGAGCUUGCGUACUAUUAGUUAGUUGGUGAGGUAAUGGCUCACCAAGACGAUGAUGGUUAGCCGGCCUGAGAGGGUGUACGGCCACGCUGGAACUUAGACACGGUCCAGACUCCUACGGGAGGCAGCAGUGGGGAAUAUUGCGCAAUGGGCGAAAGCCUGACGCAGCGACGCCGCGUGGAGGAUGAAGGUCUUUGGAUUGUAACUCCUGUUUAAGUGGAAGAAAAACCUUUUUUUAAUAGAAAGAGGCUGACGGUACCAUAGAGAAAGCACCGAGCUAAUCUUGUGCCAGCAGCCGCGGUAAUAC
rnacentral:rRNA from 1 species